UAGGGAAUAUUGGACAAUGGGUGAGAGCCUGAUCCAGCCAUGCCGCGUGCAGGAAGAAGGCGUUAUGCGUUGUAAACCGCUUUUGCCAGGGGAUAAAAUGACCGUGCGCGGUUAAUUGAAGGUACCUGGUGAAUAAGCCACGGCUAACUACGUGCCAGCAGCCGCGGUAAUACAGAGGGUGCAAGCGUUAAUCGGAAUUACUGGGCGUAAAGCGCAUGUAGGUGGUUGCAUAAGUUUGAUGUGAAAGCCCCGGGCUUAACCUGGGAAUGGCGUUGAAGACUGUGGAACUAGAGUCGGACAGAGGGUCGUGGAAUUUCCGGUGUAGCGGUGAAAUGCGUAGAGAUCGGAAAGAACACCAGUGGCGAAGGCGGCGACCUGGGUCCAGACUGACACUGAGGUGCGAAAGCAUGGGGAGCAAACAGGAUUAGAUACCCGCGUAGUCCCUGAGCGGGCUGGCAAGGCGCAU
rnacentral:rRNA from 1 species